AGAGUUUGAUCCUGGCUCAGAACGAACGCUGGCGGCAGGCUUAACACAUGCAAGUCGAGCGAGGACUUCGGUCCUAGCGGCGGACGGGUGAGUAACGCGUGGGAACAUGCCCUUCACUACGGAACAGUCCCGGGAAACUGGGUUUAAUACCGUAUACGCCCUUCGGGGGAAAGAAUUUCGGUGAAGGAUUGGCCCGCGUCUGAUUAGGUAGUUGGUGGGGUAAUGGCCUACCAAGACGACGAUGGGUAGCCGGCCUGAGAGGGUGUCCGGCCUCACUGGGACUGAGAUACGGCCCAGACUCCUACGGGAGGCAGCAGUCGAGAAGCUUCGGCAAUGGACGAAAGUCUGACCGAGCGACGCCGCGUGAGCGAUGAAGGCCCUAGUGGUCGUAAAGCUCUGUCAGGAGGGAAUAAAUGCUUGUGGUGAAUACCCGCAGGAGUUGAAGGUACCUCCAGAGGAAGCGCCGGCUAACUACGUGCCAGCAGCCGCGGUAAUACGUAGGGCGCAAACGUUGUUCGGAUUUACUGGGUUUAAAGGGUUCGUAGGCGGACUGAUAAGUCAGAGGUGAAAGCCAACGGCUUAACCGUUGAAUGGCCUCUGAUACUGUCAGUCUUGAGUCCGUUAGGGGAUGGUGGAAUUCCUGGUGUAGCGGUGAAAUGCGUAAAUAUCAGGAGGAACACCAGUGGCGAAGGCGGCCAUC
rnacentral:rRNA from 1 species